rnacentral:misc_RNA from 1 species
UUUCCGUAGGUGAACCUGCGGAAGGAUCAUUCAUAAUAAAGUGUUUUAUGGCACUUUUUAAAAAUCCAUAUCCACCUUGUGUGCAAUGUUAGAUCUCGUCAAUCUUGGCGAGAUUUUUAUACAUCAACUCAUUUUUUAACUAAUUUGUCUGAAAAAUAUUAUGAAUACUUAAUUCAAAAUACAACUUUCAACAACGGAUCUCUUGGCUCUCGCAUCGAUGAAGACGCAGC